rnacentral:lncRNA from 1 species
GAGCCUUUCGAAUCAGAACUUAGUAAAAUUAUGAUUUUACCUCUGAAAUACAAUAAAUCUUUUUCUAAGUCAAAAUCAUUAGUAACCUCCUUAAAUAUUUUAUAAUCAUCAAAAUCAAUUCAUGGAGCAACACUUGAGGUUGAAUCUUGCCUUGACCGAGGACUUAGAGAUCGCCUCCUUCCUGGCUCCUGAGUCUUGAUGCAGCUCUGGCGAGUCUAUCUCUUGUCCAGGCUCUACGAAGGUGCCCGUAGCUAUUUUGAUGGUGGUGGCAGCUGUGAAGCC